CACGUAGGGGGCAAGCGUUGUCCGGAAUCAUUGGGCGUAAAGAGCUCGUAGGCGGCUCGGUAAGUCGGGUGUGAAACCCUCAGGCUCAACCUGGGGACGCCACUCGAUACUGCCGUGGCUAGAGUCCAGUAGGGGAGUGUGGAAUUCCCGGUGUAGCGGUGAAAUGCGCAGAUAUCGGGAGGAACACCAGCGGCGAAGGCGGCACUCUGGGCUGGUACUGACGCUGAGGAGCGAAAGCGUGGGUAGCAAACAGG
rnacentral:misc_RNA from 1 species